AACACGAUCGGGGCGACGGCGCAUCUUUAGGAGACGAUCGGUAUGAGAGGAGAGGGGAGGAGAAGGAGAGGUCUGGCGGCGGCUAAAGAGGUGCUCGCCGGCGCGCACAGUUGGAUCGGGGCGCUUCCACCGCGACGCCCCCAUCCCAAAAGAUCCGGCGCUCCCCGCCGCCUGCCCACCUACCCACGCGACGCUACCACUCCCCUCCACCUCCCCACGCGACGCCGCCAGCCCCAAGGGUGCCCACCCCGUCGCCCGGUCGCUGCACCAGCGCCUCCCGGUCGCCCUCGCCGGCCCUCCCCGCCGGCCCCACGUCGUACCCGUCGUCUCCUCAAUCCGUAGCCAGGGGACACGCCAGCGCCCUCCCAGUGGCCCUCGCCGUCCCUCCCCGCCGUCUCCCCAAUCCACAGCCAGGGGACACGCCAAGAACCUUCAGUCAUGAGGCCGUCGCGCGGGAGGUCUUCCAUCUCAGUUUUGUUUUAUUUACGGUAUUUCCCCAAUGAUGUGCUACUUCAACUUUUGUUCCAGUGCUCCUCAAAUUGAUGUAACUAAGAGAAUGUCCUGGAUCACGGUGUUAGAUUCUGAAGUUUAUCGUCAUCUACCCAUCGUUCUGGGUUUCAUUUGUAAUUUUUCAGCGAUGCACAAGUUUAUAGUCAUCAGGCAGUCCUUAAUUUUAAGAUGAUAUCAACAUUUAUAUUCUUGAUUACAGGGUGUUGUCAACAAUUUCAUCACACCCACUGCUUGACCACAGAGGUAGUUGCCGCCUGCAGCCAUUCACAUGCCGUCACCUGCAUCUCCUCUGUGCGUUCCCGUCUCUCCAUGCCGCACGAGGAUGCAGUCAUCACAUCCUUGAGUAGGUAAUUUAUCAAUUGAUAGCUUUUCUCCCUGCUAUGACUUGCAUCUUUCUACCUUGCUUCAAAUUUAAUUUGAUUGGGGUCUGUUUGAUUCAAUGUCAAAUGAAGAUCAACUUUAUCUCUGAUUGAUUCAUGCAAGUGGAAGCUGAAUUAUAUUCUGAAGAUUCUGAUUAUUACUUGCAAGUUAUAUUCUAACACAUUGUCCUUGGUUUAACAACUUGCAAGUGUUUCUUGUAGUGGUUUUAACCCCAUAAUAAAGGACUUGCAGGUGGACAUCUGCUAUAAAUAAUCAGGUACUUCUUUCUCAUUAUCAAAUUCAAAUGCUCAGUGAAACUAUCCAAUGGAUGAACUGGUUGUUUAACACUGAAUCAUCAACACUUUAUUCUCUUCUUUUCUCCUCUUCCAUUCACCGCAACAUCUGCAGUGCAUGCUUGUUACUUAUCUCUUCUCUGAGUGCUUGAACAUAAAUACUGAGAAAACCAAAUUCUCUAUGGGCAUGAAUAAUCUUUCGAUUCAUACGUAAAAAUCAAAAUGUGGUUCCAGAGGUCGGGGGUAAUCCUCCUUUUCUAAAAAAAAAAGUUCCGGGAGGUAUGGCGUGAUUUCUCUGCUGGUAUGUGUGUGUGUUGCUUGUUUGUCUGCUGCCGGGAGGAUUGCACAGUGCCGAUGCCGGGAGCCAGGGGUCAUCGGAAAAUUGAGAUGCCGAAGUCGAUCACUCAAAACGAGCCUUACUUGGCAGUGACUGAAUCCUCCACAAAUUAUUUGAUGACAUUGAGCCUUGCUUGGCAUUGACUGAAUCCAACAGUGGCGAGCUUGUAUCCCAGACAACCUCUUCGUCUUGAUUUUUUAGAAGCUAACUCACUUCAAAAGGAGGCCUGGAUUACCUUAUAUUCAGCAUUGGUCACAUAGAAUAGAUUUUUUUUAUGAUGAAGAAGUUUGACAGGAACCUAUCCGAGAAUCAUGCUGGUUUGUGCACUGCAGUUUGCACGAGGUUCAGACGUGUGGCCAGCUGGGCACCGCCUAUAUAUCUAAACCUGAAAAAGCUUACUAUAUAGAUUGGCAGAAUAAAAUAAAAUUCAUAAAUCACUUUAGUUUUCACUAAUGCAGCUAGGGCCAGCACCCACUAUCAAAAGAGACAGCCUCAACAACGGACAGGGUGGCGGAGUAGUCACAUUCCCACCAUACAUAUACUACUAGCUAUACUUCUGGAGCAAAUUCUUUGUCGUAGUCAUCAGGCUGCGGAUGUCGUUGCCGGGAUACACGCUCUCCAAGGUCUCCGGCCAUAUAGGCCCAUGAGGGAUGCAGGGCAUGUUACUCUAUGCAGCAUCAUGACCACAAUGGUGUCUUGGUUUUGAAAAUACUAUUUGAAUGGCAUCACAACAUUUAGUACACACUUUUUCGCAACAGUUGCUUUAUUUUUAUACCAUGUGAAUCUCCCUUGGUCAGCACCUGAGACGUGCGUUACACAUGGUCAAUUUUUCAUGAUUUAUUGUUGUUGCUGUUUCCCACAAGGUACUUGAUAAAAAUGAUUGGCGUGUGGCGCUCUUCAAUGACUUGUUCUCUUUUGAAGAGCAAGCAGAGAGAGCAUGAGAGCGCCGUGAUUCUCCAAAUUCCUGCUCACUUCUAUAUCCAUAUAUUUGUUUUAUCUGGUUUUUUGGACUUAUUUUAUUAUCUUGUGUGCUACAUAAGAGGUGUCUUUGUGGAGCUUAAGAACAAUUUAUUUGGUUGGAGCAAACUAAUAUUGUAUUGCAAAGGGCCGGACAGCCAACCAGCUACAAAGGGACUGCCCAAUUUUAUCCAUGUGUUGGACUAGAUGAUAUUUGAUGAUUUGAACCUUGCAAUGAUAGGGUUUCCACAACACUAUGUAUGAUCUAAACAAUGGCUGGAAAUAUUUAUUGGAGCAUUUAUUUCAAACAACUUUGUUAAAAGAUAUUUCUAAUAUUUUAGUGGAUGCGAUAUAUUUUAGAUAGUAGUACUGCUUUAAUGUGGUGUGGUACAGAGUUUGCCUUCUGUUAUAAACUUCACACGCUUUGAAAGCAAGAUCAUGUUGUACAGGCGUGCAGUUGUGAGAAAUACAGUGGAUGGCUCCAUAUGAGUUCUCUAGCCCUCUAGAAUUAUGGAGUCAGGUGCAGACUCCGCUGAUGACGACGAUGGUUCGGUAGAGAUAGGCUUGCUCUGUAUUACAUAACUAUGUUCUGUUAGUCAAGUGUCAUUCUGAUGCAGGAGGCAGACGCUUCAAAAUCAUCUGCGGAGUAAGCGAUAGGAGGCCGUUGUGCAACAAAAGGUCAUGUAUAGACCAAUGCCGUUGGUACAAAAUCUCGAUCACAGCGUCCCAUAUCGUGAUCGCACAUCAGAGCUAGCCUACCAAUGUCAGAUGGCAUCGGUUUUACUACAGGGAUGUGGGUCAUCGGCCAUGACAAAAGAUGGUAUACAAAUAUUAUGGAUAAAAGAUGGCAGCAUAAACUUUGCAAUUUUAUGAUAUGUUAUCUGGAAGAUUUUUGCCAUGCGGUGGUCCAAUGAUUCUGGCUAUAUGCACUGGAGUUUAAUCCAUGUAUGUGAACUAAUUAGAUAUCUAUCUGUGUGAAUUUGGAGAUACUCCCUCCGUUCGGAAUUACUUGUCGUAGAAAUGGAUGUAUCUAGAUGUAUUUUAGUUCUAGAUAUAUCCAUUUCUGAGACAAGUAAUUCCGAACGGAGGAAGUAUGUGUUUGAGAUGAUUUGAGAGUUAAACAAACUUUAAGUGAGGAUCUUUAUAGGUGAGUCCCUAUACAUACAUUGAUGGGAAAUAUUUUAGGGGAUCUAUGAGAGUUUCUCUAAUUGCGGUUCAUAAUUCCUCGGAAGUCCUCCGAGCCAUACCUGUUUACGGUAAACAACAUAUUUUGUUACUCUUUUAGUUAUCUUUUAAUAAAUUUUCUUUAUUAAAUUCAACUUCAUCACUAAACCAAGUUCUGCUCAUGACAGCCACACGACAAGAGCCGGCAAGGAGGUAGAGUUCACGAAGUACAUGUUUGACCGCGACAACUCCCAAGCAUGUGUAUCCGUACCUGAUGACGAGGUGACCAGGUGAAUACCACUCAUGAGAUGUGCGAACUUGGGAUGAGGAUAAGUAGAACACAUAUUAGUCGCAAGCGGGCGCAAGAAUUUUGUUUCCGUUGCAACUCACGACCACAUUUACUUGAUUAAACAUAAAUAGAAUAUUUUUAUAUUUGAGAGACGUGCACAUACUUACUAGUUAGUCUUAAACAUGAUAAUUGUUAGGAUUUAAUUAAUCCUAUUAAUCCCUACUUUUCCUAAAGGAGGCGGUUACCUCAUGUCCCUUCGGAAACAGUCC
rnacentral:lncRNA from 1 species